CAUGGGUUCUUGAGCACUUGUAUUUAGUACAGUAAUCAUUAUCUCAACUACAGCUGCUGUUAAACUCUCGUACUUUCAGUUCAAUCUGGUCAAGCUAACUGUGAUUGGCAUGUGUUUCCUGCAUUCUAUGAUUAUUUAAAGAGGACUUUUCGUCAGCGCCUUAGUAAAGAGAGAAAGAACUUCCACUUACACGGUGAAUAUUACUGCUUUUGGAGUCCAGCCACCUCAUUGAUCAGCAGCAACACUAAGUACAUCAAGAUCCCACACCAGAAUAGAAAACACUGAGUACCAUUGUUUUAAUCUCAAUUUGUCGGCAAGUGCCCCUGAGCUCAAGCUGCAGAGAAUCAAUAAGGAAAAGUCUGGAAGCAUCUAUGAUGAUGAAUGUCCUGAAUCAUGCUGAAGCUGACUCAGUCCCCAUUUGCUCCACAUCAUUCAUUCCAUCUGAUGGCAAGAGAAAACAUUGGAUGCAUCCCUACAGAGCAAACAGCUUGGCAUCAAUGAACACAAAGGCUUUAAACCUUUCUUGGAUGAGGGCAAGUCUGUGGAUGCUGGUAACAAUGAUAGAUUACCACCACAGAUAAAGAUGCCAGCCCCUGCAUGUUUCACAGAUGUUCUCACUGCCUCACCAAAACCAUAAUGGUAAAUUAUGUGGAUGGAUAGAGGUAGAGCACAGUAAAAGGCUCUUCUGGCUCAAUAUGUCCAUUCUAUCCAACUAAACCCAUGUGACCAACUAAACUACUAACUCCUUAUGUGUUUGGAAUAUGGACAUAAACGAGGAGACCCAGAGGAAACCCAUGCUGAUGCACAGAGAAUGUACAAAGUUUUUACAGAGAGCAACUGGAAUUGAAACUAUGUUGCUGGUGCUUUAACGGCAUUACACUAAUCUCCCAUACUGCCAUGCCAUCCCUACUUUACGUCAAAUGCAAACAGCCCCUGCAACCUUCAGAGCCAUGUUUAACUGAAUGACUGAGUCUGUGUGGAUGUCUUUUUUCUGACAAGUACACACUCAGCAAAACAAAUGGGCAGAAUGUGAGGGAAAAUAUCCUUAUGAGUUACCACAAAUUAAUGCUAUUAUUGCUCACUAAUAUGGGAAAGAAAUUUGAUUUUUAAUGAACUGUAUGUUGUUGAGACAACUGAUAAAGCUUAAAUUAAAUGCAGAUUUUAGACUAGGCAUAUUCUGAGAAUGUGAAUCAAUUAGAUAGUUAAUUAUGACAAAGCACAGAUAUUUUCUCUCUUCUUAACUAAACAGAGAAUGUCAUUCCCUGUAGUGUAAACAAAAGAGCCAGAAAAGCUGAAGUAACACCAAAUAUAUUGACUGUCCAGUUGUGAAAUGUUCGGAUCAAAAUGAACUGCUGUGAUUUAUAAAUGUAAAUUAUUUUUAUUUCAAGUAAAAAUGUUCCCUUCUACUCUUUCUUCCACACUUUUCAGCAUAAAUUUCUUUCCUUGUCAUCAUAGAAAUCUAAAUCCAAUUAUCAUUGCCUUAUUAAUGGUUACUGUUUGUUUGGUCAUGCUUCUUGUCUAUUGGUGCUGACAGCUGAGGUUUCCAACUGUUGUUUAUCCAGUAGUGAAUUGAAUUUUGAAUCAUUUAUAUUUUAAUUGAAUUUGUUACUUCACAGGAGCUGACCAUUUACACAGCAGUGAACAAUGAUAGCUGAAUCUGGAGCAGGCUCUUUCAGGUCAGAUCUGCAGACAUGUCACUCAGUCCCUCCAGUUUUAUUACCUCCUGACAUAUGACACUGUAGUGGAUUUUCAGUGGCCCCAAUCUACCACUUAUGAGACACUGAAAAUCAUGCUCACCGGACGGCCAUUUUAACACCUGCAAAUGCCUGAAUCCAUUUAAAAGUUACCUAACCACCUGGGUCACUGUCAAAUCUCUCUGGGGUGGGUAGAUAUACUGGCUCCAGAGUGGGACCAACUGUUUCUCCUAAGCAUCUUCAAUCUCCUUCUUGCAAAGGUUGACCCAUGGCUACCUGGAAGUCAUGUAUUUCCAUGCUUUGUCAGAAAAUAUCUUUGCUGUGGCUGGUACUGGGACCAUACUGGCUCAACCAUACCGCAACAAGAGUCCUUGACGAGAGUGGCUUGGAUACAAAUGCUGGAGUAUCCGAGGCUCGGAUCGAUAAACAGUCUCAAACUGGAUCGGGAAUCUGAGCACAAAGCAAACAAUAGCCAAAAUCACAAGUAGGCUUGGGGUUGAGCACAGAAGUGUUCCUUAAAUAUUCAAUCCGUGGCCCCCAAAACACGAUUGCCAAUUAACGGGAUUGUCCUGAAUCUUUAAAGGGGCUGCGCUAGCCAUCCAUACUCUGGGGAGUUAGAGUGCAUCUAAACCUCAGAAGCUGUCAUAGAUGGGUGCAUGUCAUUACAGUCAGAUGAUGUCGUCAAUGAGGAAACCAAGAGGAGAGAUCAGAUCGUAAAGGGAGCAAUAGAAGGGUCAAUAAAAGAAUACUCCGGUGAACUAGAUGCAUCUUUAUAGGAUCAUGAAGCUCAAAACUGAAGAAGAAAAGGGAAGGAGAAAGGUAGCCACCACUGUCAGAAUCACUUCCUGCAAUCUCAGAGUAAACUCAUAUGACCACCAUGGAGGAGACCUCAGAACCUAAGAUUAUUUUAAACACACAAGUCUCACCUGCCAAGCAGAGUGAUUGCCGUUGUCCAGAAAGAUGAUAUCCCACAAGAGCAAGAAAUCCCCCACAACAAUGAAAUCUUUAGGCCCGAUGGGACAAUUUAACAUAUACUAUGCUGUGGAUGUCUGUAUAAAGAUGUUGCAUUAUAUAGUAUACAGUGUAUAUACUUUGUAUUUGAGAUGUAUUCUAUAUUGAGUUGGAGUUUAUAGCUAAGCGGGGAGGAAUGUUGUGUACUUAAUAUUUCAAUAGUAUUCUAGUAAUCUUGUGUAUAUAUAUUGAUUGAUUAAGCAUUCUUGUUUGUUUAAAUAAUUCAUUACGAGUUAUAUUUAUAAAUACGUGAAUUGCAUGUGUCAGCACACUACCAUGUGAUAUGCAUGUGCCUCACUUAAAAUAAACACAAAGUUAGACAUGUAUCACACACAAAAUGCUGGUGGAACACAGCUGGCACAAGGCAGCAUUCCACCUGCAUUUUAUGUGUGUUGCUUGAAUUUCCAGCAUCUGCAGAUUUCCUCGUGUUUGCAUUAGACAUGCAUUGCUGGACUCCCACAUCUUCCUGUGAAUUAGUUUAAUGUUUUGAAGUUACAAAACAUACCAGAAUGUUUCUGUCCUGAUGGAGGGUCUCUAACCAAAACAUUGACUGUUUAUUCCCCUGCAUAGACCUGCCUGACUUGACCUCCAACCUGUUGUGUGUUGCUCUAGAAAUAUACAGAGCAAGACCCAAUCGGAUUCAAGGAUGAAUGGAAGUAAAGGCCUUUUCAAGGAGAUCCAGUACUGCACUCUGUCAAUUUGGACCUCUCUGUAUGGAUUGUGUUAGAAUAUUCACCGCUGGAGAACAGAUAAAGAAAAAUGGCUGAGGAGGACGGGGAGGAGCCAUUGAGAAAGGCCCAGAAAAUAUUAAGAACAACAGAUGAUUUUGAUGGCCGGUUGGAGUACACCUCAAUUUCAUAAUGUGAACCUUACCCAGAUCAUCAUCGAGAUCAAGUUCAGCAUUGUUUCCUGAAGGAGACAUAUGGACGCAGUUGAAAAGGACAGAAACUACUUGGGCCUUGGAAUCUGCCACCAGAGUCUUAGAAACUGGUGUUUGCGGAAUGUCCAGCAUAGCAAACAUUAACUCAUGGAUUCACAAAAGUUUUGGAACACUAUGUCCUGCAGAUAAAACAUAACACUGCUUUCUCCAUGUAACAAGAACAGUUAGUCCUGACGAAGGGUCCCGGCCCGAAAUGUCAACUGUACUUCUCCCUAUAGAUGCUGCCUGGCCAACUGUGUUCCACCAGCAUUUUGUGUGUAUCGCUUGAAUUUCCAGCAUCUGCAGACUUCCUCGAACUUGCAGUUUGAUGCUUUUCCUUGUGGUGCCUGAUGAUGUGAUGAUCAUUCACUAAAUGAUUCCAGGCAGAGAAAGCAAACCAGUAGAAAGAGGAAAGGAUGUCUCAAAGUCCCGAAGUUUCCUGAGAAACUGCAACUAUUGGGAAACCUAAAAAGAUGAAAGCGAAUGAGAAAUUAUUUCAGUCAGGAAGAAAUGCAGUAUAUUCUCUACAGAUUGUAUUUGAAAAUAAGAGCGGUUGUGGCAAUUCCUUGUGCCUUCACAUUUAUGUGUUUAUAUUAUCCUCAAAGCUCUUUGAGCAUGGUAUACAAGAAUUUAAUAUAGGUCCUCCCCAGCAACUGAAUGCCCGUCUUACAUACAGCACAUACAUACUGUACAAAUAAGGAUUUGGAAAUCAGCGGGUUGGAUUUGCCAGCUGCUGAGAUGCUGUAGGCAUCUUCUGCCAAGUGGGAAUUAAUUUCCUGUUUCUGAACUAUUUGGGUUAGGGAACCCCGCCAUUACAUGGAAAUGACCUAUAGAAUGUCAGACUUUCAAAGAUGGAAAAGGCACCCAAGAAACACUAACAGUUGCUCAGUUUUCCAUGACCCAAUUCUCAUUGUCAUUUUAAAAUCCCUUCCUGGAUUUGGACUUGGCUUUCUCUGGCUCUGUCUUCUUCAUUGUUAAACUCCAAAUGGAUUAUGUUUCUUUGAUCUUGCCCUUUUUGCAUUCCCCUAUUCCUUCAUUCAACAACUGAUAAGUUUAUGACAUGUUUUGAGGAAAUAAUGGCCAGAUGUGGUGAUCUCUAACGUAAUUAGAAACUUACCUUACCACAGUUCCAUUAAGCAGUAGUUCUAUCCACAAUCCUGGAAAUCAAAGUCUUGCAUUGUGGUACCUACCUCCUUGUGUAAUCUGAGUGGAUUAUGCCAUAGAACAGUUCAUAGCUCAGCCAUAGAACAGUAAAACCAAUCCCUGGCUUAUCCAACUAUCAGACUUAUCAAAAUCUGAAUUCUUCUCCAUUACCAGAAAAAUUCAAAAUAAUCAAAAACUUAGUAACAUCAAUGAAAUACUUAACACUCUUUAAAACUAUUAAACAAUACAUAAAUUUAAAAGAAAUGCUAAAAUAUACAUAACAAUAUUUAUUUAAAACACUGAGCUCAAAAAUGUAACAUACACAAAAUGCUGGAGGAACACAAUAGGUCAGAAUUCGUCUAUGCAAAUGGAUAAGGAGCCGAUGUUUCAGACCGAGACCCUUCAAUUGGAAAGGAAUGGGGAAGAAGCCAGAACAAGAAAAUGAAGAGAUGUGAAGGAAUACUUGAUAUCAGAUUCUAUCUUUUUUGGCCCUUUACUUUUUCUAGUUAUUAGCUCUCACAUUUUUACAUCAUUUUCCUUCCCCCACCCACAUAUCUUCCCCUCACCUAUCACCUUCUCCAAUGUACUUCAUUCCCACCCCCAACUUCCUGUUCUGGUUUUUUCCCCUUUCUUUCCAGUUCUGAUGAAGGGUCUUGGCCUAAAAUGUCAACUGCUUUUUCAUUUGCAUGGAUGCUGCCUGAGGUGCUGAGCUCUUCCAGCAUUCUGUGUGUGUUACUUUGGAUUUCCAGCAUCGGCAGAACCUCUUGUGUUUAACUCAAAAAAUGUGAAUAUGUUUACCGUUACUUGCAAAAGUUCCCCAUCAAUGAAAUGAAUGAGACUGUGUUCCCUUGCCAGCUUUGAACUGGCAGUGUCCCAACAGGUAGAUUCCCUCACACGAGUGCUGGGGAAUUGUCGCAACAUUGUGCUCCCCUCACCAAAGAACACAACUCCGAGGUAAAGCUGAAAAAUUUGGUGAAAUUCUGUGUUCAAUAAACUUUUAGCAUUUACCAUUAAGAUAAAGGCCAGAAUGUCAUGUAGGAAUGGGGUGGUGUUUAUUAGUUUUGACAUGCAAAGAGAACUGAGGGCUGCAGGAAGGAAUUGCCUGCUUGUCAAAGGUAAUUAUCUAUUGUCCUGUGGUUAGCCAUCAUUAUUAUGCAAAUACUAUGGAUUCAGAGAAUUGUCACAUUGAAUUAUGCAAAUCAGAUUAUUACUCACAUUUCGUGGAACAAUGGAGCAUUCCUAUGUUAAUUAAAAAAGGUGAUUAAACAAUAAGCUCUAACUGGGAUGUUCCUUGGUCAAUUAUCCUUAACCGAAAACAAUCCAAAAAUCUUGCAGCACACAGCUGCUCAGGAAGUCAAAAAGUAACCACAGCUGAAAUUCCUUGACAGGAACCUGGUAACUUGCAAUUUUGUUUUUCUCUCUUUUGUAUGAUGAGGUGAUGCUGGCAUGGUAAAUGAUUCCAGGCAAAGCCAACACUGCUGUACCAACUGCAAGAUUCAACCAAAAUCACAAAUAUGCUUCAAUGCAAUUACAGUUCAUUUGUGGUUGGAAACUUGAUUGCAAUGUAGCAGAUAUUACGGAUAAAGCAGCCUUGAUUCUACUGCAGAUAUGAUUAAUUGCACGAGGGCAAGCACAAUUUGUAGGUAUGACAAGGCGAGUAAUGUAUGCCAUUUAAUAAACUAGUAAGUGUUCACAAAAACAUAAACCUAUCUAGAUUAUCAACAUCCCAUUAUACCCAUGGCUAAUGGUUUAGAAAUGAGGAAAACAGAUCUGAUUAAUCUGAAAUGCAGGGAGCUCUUAAUGUCUGUCCAUAGCCAGAAUCAGAGCCAGGCUUAACAUCACUGGCAUAUGUCAUGAAAUUUGUUGUUUUGUCGCAGCAGUAAAGCACAAUUCAUAAUUUUUAAAAAAAUUCAUAAUUUGCAAUAAGAGCAAAAAUAAGUGAGAGUGUACAUGGGUUCAUCUGAUGGUGGAGAGGAAGAAGCUGUUCCUAAAAUGCUGGGCAUGUGUACCUCUCCUUGAUGGUAGCAAUGAGACGAAGGUAUGCCUGGGUGGUGGGGUCUUAAAUUAAGGAUGUCCCUUUUUUGAGGCAUCACCUUUUGAAGAUGCCCUUGAUGCUGGGGAAGCUAGUGCUCAUGAUGGAGCUGGCUGACUUUGAAAGAAUCUGCAGCUUUUUCUAAUCCUGUGCAGUGGCCCCUGUAUGCCAGACUGUGAUGCAACCAGUCAGUACAUCUAUAGGAAUUUGUGAGAAUCUUUGAUGCCAUACUACUUUCUUAAACUUAUAAUGUAAUAUAGUAUUGAAAGGAGGCUGGAAGAAGAUUUGGUGACAGUUUAGUUACAGGAAUCGAACACUUUUUGAGUGCUUAAUUCCUUCAUGAAACAUCUCAAGGUCAACGAAGAGUAACUAAGGGAGUGUCACCCAUCAGGAUCCUGAACCGAGGGGGAUAACUCCACUCACCUUGACACUGAACUGAUUCUACAACCUGUGGACUCACUUCCAAGGACUCUACCACUCAUGUUCUCAAUAUUUAUUAGUUAUUUGUUUAUUAUUUUUUGUACUUUUUCUAUUUUGUAUUUUAUACAAUUUGUUGUCAUUUUCACAUUGGUUAUCCAUUUUUCUUCAUGCUCAGUUGAUAAUUGAUUAUCGAGUUUCUUUGUAUUUACUGUGAAUGCCCACAAAAAUAUAAUUUCAUGGUAGUAUAUGGUUACUUGUGUAACUUUGUUAAUAAACUUACUUUGAUCUUUG